UGCAAACCAUAUCCUAGAGUGUUGAUCGAUGAAAGUCGCGAGCAAGUCGCUCUUUUUGAUCCUCCAUGAUUUUGAGGAUCGAUAGUCGAGCUUUCGACUUAAAACAAGCGCACUUGGGAGGCAUUCCCAAGAGGUACUUGGGAGCAUUGCGGAAGCAUUUUGGUACAAAAGAUGGAAAAGUCGACGGAAAAGAGGCGAAAGCUCAUUUGCAAGUCUGAAAAUCCGACCCCGCUGCACUAAUUGGAAAAUUGGAACCAGCUAGAAGCCUCAAAUGAAUUUGUGUUCUUCAUGAAAGUUAAAGUAGACGUCCUAAGCUUUCCAACGGUUCAAGAAUCGACUCAAUCGGACAUUUCUACACCAAGUUAUGAAGUUACGAAGAUCGCGGUUCUGCAGAGCAAAGGGUGUCUCGAACCAAGACACCAAAGUGUGAUAUGUGUCUCGAUUCGAGACAAAUGUGCCUGGAGGCAGAUUAUAGUGUCUCGAACCGAGACACUCCUCCAUUCUAAGUGUCUUGGUUCGAGCUUAGGCUUGGAAAAAGGGGAAUUUCUGAUUUCAAACACAAAAAGGCUUGAUUCUCUUUGCUUCUUUGGGCCAAACACUCCUUGAGUGAAUGUUUUUCUUUCCUCUUUUGUAAACAUAUAAAAACCCUUUUAUCUCUAUUUUAGGUUAUGUCAUGAUUUUGUAGAGAAUUGUUAGACAUCUCAUUAUUGUAGCAACACUUUCUCUCUAGCUUUAAAUCAUUGUUCUUAUUGUUCUUACUAAAAGUAGUAAAGGAUCUUCAUAGUUCUUGGUGUUCUUCAAA